AACGUAGGAGGCAAGCGUUAUCCGGAGUUACUGGGCGUAAAGAGUGCGUAGGCGGAUUGAUAAGUGGGUGGUGAAAGCGCCCGGCUAAACCGGGCGAGGUCCAUUCAGACUGUCAGUCUAGAGGCGGAUAGAGGGGUGCGGAAUUCCGGGUGUAGCGGUGAAAUGCGUAGAUAUCAGGAGGAACACCGGUGGCGAAGGCGGCUACCUGGACAGAAACUGACGCUGAGGCGCGAAAGCCAGGGGAGCAAACGGG
rnacentral:rRNA from 1 species